CAGCGCCACGGUAAUACAGAGGGUGCGAGCGUUAAUUGGAUUUACUGGGCGUAAAGCGUGCGUAGGCGGCUUCUUAAGUCGGAUGUGAAAUCCCUGAGCUUAACUUAGGAAUUGCAUUCGAUACUGGGAAGCUAGAGUAUGGGAGAGGAUGGUAGAAUUCCAGGUGUAGCGGUGAAAUGCGUAGAGAUCUGGAGGAAUACCGAUGGCGAAGGCAGCCAUCUGGCCUAAUACUGACGCUGAGGUACGAAAGCAUGGGGAGCAAACAGGAUUAGAUACCCCCGUAGUCCCUGUCUCUUAUACA
rnacentral:rRNA from 1 species